CCCGGGCUGCCCCGGACCUGUGGAAAAUUAAUGGACUUCAGGCAGCGAACACGACUGGGAACUCCAGGGGUGGGCAGGUGCCAGCCAGGGUUAUUAAAUGAGGACUAGGGUGUCCUAAAAGGGCUCGGAGGGGAAGUAGGUGAGGUGCUCCCGGUUGCCCAGCAUUAGCCUUUUGCUAUCAGUCCUCAGCUACCUUUGGGAGACAUCUCCUGAUGGAAUCUGUACCGUCAGUGCAGUAGGGAUGGAGGAAGAGAAGUUUGGGACCUUAACUGGCUCCCCACUAAGAUACUCAGAGAAAUAUCUUUCUUUCACAGACCUGGAGUCCAGGAAAAUCUUUUGACUGAUCCAAAGUUCCAAAGGUUCUGGGUAUCCAGGCUUUGAAUCCAUCAGGCACGACUAUUCAUGCCUUAGUUGUUAAAAACAUUAUGGGCCUCUGGAAAGGAGCUCUUUCCAUCGCAAUAUUCUCUUCUCCAGCUAGAACCCAGGGGUGAUAAACUCUCAUGACAGCCUCCCGGGAGGGAGAGAAGGAGGUUUGGCAAUGGCCUCGGAGUUGGCUUCCAUCCUUGGGUCUUUGGGAGGAUCACAAGGCGUCAGGUCAGGAUUCAGGUUAGCCGUGGUUCAAGACUUGCCCAGGUGGCAUAUGUGGAUGAAGGCAAGUUCACCGGGGCACAAUGCCCUUACAUUCAUCUGAUUUUCCAACCUGAGGCAGACUCGUAGGCAGGGAGUGCCUCAUUCACUCUGGGCCCCUAUGGCCUGGGUUUUGAACUGGCACAGAGUUGGCAUCAGUGGUGCACAUACAGGAUCUUGAAGGCCCAAACCAUAGGCACAUUUAGAAGAUCCACAUCAGCGGGAUGGGGGAGGAGCUGGAGAAUCAAGUAAAAUCAUGUAAAAGUAUCUGAAGAAAUAGAUCAAUUUAACUACCGGAGAAUGGAACCUGAGCAGGCCCCACUUGCUCACACUCUGUAAGUUGGACGUGCCUUCUGGAAACAGAAAAGCCACUAGGAAGUUCCAUUCUCACUGAAACAUGAAGGAUUUCUGGGUGCACACUGGGUUGUCUAUGGGCCGUGGCAGUAAAUACUUCCCUACCUCCAAGGUACCUUCCCGCUCCCUAAAAAAAAGAAGUAUGGAGACUACGUAUCCUAGCCUGUCUGAUCACCCUGGGCUAACUUCCUGAAGGAAAGGGGAUCAAGGAAGCACUAGGCCUACCCACCUGCCUGGCCCAAAAAGGUUAGAGUUGAAAGGGAAACAUCUUCGAGGUGGGUGGGACUCUGGUCCUGCCGGUGCAUCGAGUCAGAGCUGGGAAGGAAGGAAAGGCCCAUUACCCUGGCUGGUGAUAUGAGCUCUGACUUUGAGGAGUGACCACCACCCCAUCAGUGCUCUCUGGAGCCCCUCUCUCCCCAGGGCUGGUGGGCCACGAUUGGCCUCCCAGGUCACAUCCUCUGCUGUACUGGUCUUGCUUGGUCUUGUUCUCACUGGCUGUGGCAGAGUGUUUGGUCCCUAAAGCCCAGGAAGCUGAGUCCCCCUGCCCCCACAUGAACAUCUCUGAGAGGACAGGAGUCAGCUAGCUGCUCCAGGACAUGGGGACGCCUCUGUGUGUGAGGGCUUGAAAGGCCACGGAGUGUGAAAUUCUCAGAUGUGCAACAUGGCUGCAGGCACUGAUGUCACCAUAAGUUACACCUAAUGGCCCUGUGAACACAAGUGCUUUCCAGACCGUCUUCUGAGGCAAACUCCCUUGCCUGCUCUGCAAAGUUUACUGUGGAGACACAAGGACUCAGGAGGCUUUCUGGACUUAGGGUACCCCCAGCCUACAGGGCCCAGGCCUCGCACUGAGGCUCCCUGCUUUGCUCAGACAGAAAUCCCCCAAAAGAUGAGCUGGAGCUGUCUGGCAAGAAGAGCAGAUAAGAACAGCAGGAUUGGGCCUCAACACCCCCCACCCCCACACUCCAAAGAAAAACCACACACACACACACUCACACACACACACACACACACACACACACACACACACACAAACCAGCUUGAGAGCUAUCAGAAUUCUGGACAGUGGUUCCUGUCAGGAUCUGUGUUGGGAGCUGAGAGCAGGAGCUCAUCUCACAGGGACGUCUGCAAAUGGCAAGUGACCACUGUCAAAUAUUGAACAAGGCCAAUGGGGACGGUCAUGUCUGAGGUCCUAUUCAUGGUUACUUCAGCCAGAGGCAGAGCCCCCAGCCCAGCCUGGUUCCUGCCAAACUUUGCCUAGAGUGAAGCAGGGAAGCUUGGCUUCUCUCCUCUGCUCUGGGACCACCAACCCCCCUUUUGGGAGGCACAGUAAAGCAUCGGAUCAAAUGGAACCUAGGCAUCCGCUACUUGAAGUGGUUUACUCCUCUGUGUGGUCCUUGUAUGUCCUCUGCUCCCAAGACACCAGUCCCUGCAUGGAGCCCUUACUGGCUGCAUCAUAUGGCUAGUACACCCACAUCUCCAGUAUUGCAAAGUUUCCCUCCCUCCCUGGACACAUCUCUAAUAUUAAUGGUGGGGCCCUCAGAUGAGCUUUAGACACAAAUUCAAGACAGUGAGGAAUCCACCCAAAAAGUCCUGAGAGAGUGAUCCCCCUGGGAGUCCAGGCAGAAGCAAAAGCAAACCUUCUCUUGGGCUUCCCCCUCCCCCAGGCCUCCUAAGUAAAGAUGGGCAGGAGGAGAGGCUCCCACCCUAAGCCGCUAGAACCUGAGGCUACAGAACCAUCAGAGAAGUCUGGACCAUGGCUCUGGAUGGGAGUAAGGUUGGGGACUUGGAAAGAUGAGUAGUGGGGCAGAGGCAGUUCACCAGCCAUGACUUACCUGCCCUUGGGCCUGUGUCUGCCCUUUAGACCAUCUCUCUUCGGGUGGCAGCCCCCCUGCACGCCCAGGGAGCAGCCGCUGGAGGACCAAACGGGGGGUGGGGGGUUAUGGUAGCCGUGGGAAUCCCCGUGAACUUCAGAAACACCUCAGUUUCUCCCUGCCAGGGGCAGUUCCAGAACCCAGAGUGGCUCUGAGCUGGGGGGCAGGUGCAAGGGAAGACAGAAGAGUCACUCGGGGCAGAGCUUGCUUUCCCCCCUUCACUCUGAUGGGGCAGAAAAACAAGACCAUAAAUUCUCUCAGAGAGCAGGGCCUUUCUUUGCCUGUUGGGAGCCCCUCACCCCAAUAUUUUAAGUUGCCCCCAGCAUUUAGCAGGCCCGCCAAGGAGUUUGCUGUAAACUUCGGAGCUGAGAGGCAAGUCUGCCUUAACUUCCUCUGACUGCCCCAGUGAGAGGAGCCACGGGGCGGGGGCACAGAUGGGGUCAUUGAGUCCUGCAGCCCUUUUUCGUUUAGAAUUCCGGGCUGACUUCUUGAUCCCGGGUAUGUUGAAUGGCAUGACCUGGGAAAAUUUGGCUUGAUGCCUGGGGGAGGCAUGCCCAGAUCUCACUGAGUCACCAUUCAGUCCAAAGCAAGAACUGAUGCUUGUCUUUUCUGGUUGGAGGGAGAGUUGAGGGACGGAUAACACUCUUUCUCCAGAUCAAAUCAAAAUCCCAAUAGGAAGAGAUACCUUGGUCAGGAUGGGGGUGGAGAGCAAAAGAGCAAUCAGCAGGCUUGGGGCAGGCUAGAAAUAUUCAUGACACAGAGCAUAGGCUUCCCGUGGCCGAGAAAUCUCCAAUUUGGCUUGUAGUAAAUAUGUAAACCUGUUAAAAUACAUUGAUUAGCAAAGGAUCUCCACUCAACACUCUUUAAACACCAACAUCUGUUCCCAAUAAAUAAUUCACAUAGUAGAUAUUAAUUAGAAGGCACGGGAGGAAGGAAUGGCAGCUUUAAAAGGACACUGAGAUACCUCUUUGCCAAGAAAGGCAAAAACCCACAGCCAGAUGUGGAGGAAAAAGUACCGCGAGAGGCCCGCUUCCCUCUUCCUGUUUUGGACCACGCACAUCACUCUACCCCUGCCCCCAGAAGGCAGGCAGUGCCACAGCUGCUUCCCACCCCUAGGACAACAGUGCCCCUGGAGACAGCUGUCCAAGCACAGCUGGCUGCUGCCCACAGCCAUGAGAGGGGUGGCCCUGGAUUCCUAGAGCUACAAGCCGUGGAGGGCAGCUCUCCUGACCCACCCCUCCACACAUCCCCUCUGGCACCAGCAGGCAGAGGACUGGUUGCUCAGACAUCCACUGAGGAUGGGAGAAAGCAUCAUGUCCUGAAGGUAGCCUGGAGGCUCUGCUGAGGCCUCCUUAAUUAAACCCAGGCCGUCAGAGACCCCCAUCUCUGAUAAGGAGCAGAAGUCAGGGGCCAGUGAUCUUAAACCAUCCCAGAGGAUGCAGCUCCUACCUGGGGUUUUGGUGGGGGGGUGGGGGUGCGGGGCUUCCAAGCCCCUUGCCUCCUUUUCUCAGCAGUUUCCUUGGGAGUUUUGGCUUCUUUAGCAGAUCAUCAUUGCUUUCAACUUUGGGAGGAGGAGGGCUUCUGGGACCCCACCAAGGGGCCUUGUAUUUACACUCCUGGACAGAGUGGGUGGUGGGGCUGACUUCUCAAGGCAGGAUAACCCAGUUCAUUUCCACGGAGCAGGAGGGAAGCUGGCCCCACCAGCUCCUGGGAGGCACCGGGGUGAAGUAUAUUCAUCCAGUCUUCUCUGAAUGAAUAGUUUGUGCCAAUCAUUGAGACCACCUGGGUGGGAAUUGAGACGGUGCAUGGGGGAAAAGCACUUUAUGCCCUCGGACAUCUACUCUCUAUCAAGUAUUUGAAGAGUCUGAGGCCUGAAGUUGAGAAGCUGCUAGAGGUGGCCUGGGCCCUACACCUGCCAGCAAGUGCUGCCCUUGUGGGGCUCUUCAUUUGCACAGAAGAGGGUUCCCCAAUUUGUGUUGGAGAGCCGAGGUCACUGAGUACUGUCUCUGCCAGCACUGUAGCCCACUGAGCCCCUAAGCUAGCAUGUACCCUGGGCCGGGAAGCCAUCACACCUGGCACAGGGACCAAACAGCAGGUGGGACAGCUCUGGUGGGAGCCACAUAGCUGCCCAGGUGAAAGGAGUUCCAAAGUCACCCACAUGUCUUUUGCUCCAGGAAUGAACUGUGUUUAAUUCCUGAAAGCUUUGUUCUUCUAAAGGGCUUGGCUUCAUUCAUUCUUUGUUCCAGAAUCCCCUGGUGUUAUUAUUGCAAUGACCAUUUUCCUUCUGAUUGGAGGAGGUAUUUGAGAUGGAAUGCAACUACACUGAGGUGUCUCAGGAUGAGAAGGGAAAGAGCUGGGUUGAGAAGGGACAGAGCCACACUUUCAGAACCAAAAUCCAGAAAGAAAGGGAGGUGUCACCCUAUGGAGAACCCCUCCCCACUCCAUUACAAGUCCAAAAAGUCAGAGACCCGGCCCUGGGCAGGUGCCAUGGCAACUCCUGAGGGUGAGGCUCAGUGGUUGGUAAUCAGUGUGGACAGGCACCAGGGUGAACUCAAGUGAGGUCACAGUGGGACUGCCUCAUGUUUGUAGGGCUGUUGUAGAAAGGGGGUGGCAGCUGGCUGGCCAGUUUCUUGGAGAACUUUUAAGUCCUCACACCAUCGGCUGCAGGCUGCAGAGAAGAGGCUGGGGUGGCCAGGAAAGUCCUUUCCCGGAAAUCGAGUACCUGUGGGGGCACAGCUAGGGCCGGCCCUCUGCCACCAGAGCGUGAAAUAUCACACGGGCAUUAAGAGCCUCGCUGCCACCCUGAGGACGCCUCCCACUCCGGCUGUGUCCAUUUGGAGAAUGAACCCAGCCCUUUUCCUAUCUUUAUGGAUGAGAAAACUCUGUAUUUGAGGAAGCAGCCAUUUAUCUUCACUAAGAGCCUCACCUCCACGCCUCGUCCUGAUGAGGCAGUCAGCAGCUGGAGCCAGGAGAAGGGAGUUUCAUUCUGAGGAGUGAAAUGACAACUGACUGAUGGGAAUCACAUAUGGAACUCAUCAUCCAGAAAAGUGGUGCAACUGGAAAAGAUGAAAGUUCUAGAAAGCUUUGGGGACAUCUCAGGGCAAUUAGCAAAAUGAGGUUUAGCUAUGAAACCCAGUGCGAUACAGCAACGUGACGAUCGUUUGCUUAUCUACGUACAGUGGAGUCGAGUGAGCAGCUCCUGCCACCUUCUUCCUCCCUGUAGAAUUUCUCGUCAGUCAGAGCCGCUGCCAUCCAUCCAGCUGCCUUCCACCAAUUAAUUCUCUUUCGCUGGCUCCUGCACCAAGCACCCCAUCUGAUUCCUCCACUUGUGAUACGUAUGUAGAUACAGUUACACGUUUGUCUUUGCUUUUCCGCCACUCCCUGGGCCCACCAGUGGUCGGAUUCUGUGGGUAAAUGUCCUUACUAUUUUCUUCCAACCCUUGAGCAUUUCUUCGUGCCUACUGACUGGCCCUGGGUAGGUGCCAACUGGAAUCCCAGUAGAGUCUGAUGCCAGUUGUCCUUUUUCUUAGUUGGGAAACCACCCUGAUUCCAUUUGAACCCCACUCCCAGCAACUUAGAGCCCUCCAUCCAGCCCAUGCUUUUGGUCUCAGAGGCCCUGCCUGACUUGUUUCCUGCAUUGGAACAAAACCCUCAGAGGAGAAUUAGCGGAAGAUGAAUCCAGCAGACAGAGUGGGAGUGCUGGCACGAAAUGGUGAACCAGCCUGCAAUAGGCCGGGCCACAGAGGGUGGCGGCAAGGAAUCGCUAUGUGCGGACUGACCUGGAGAUCAGAGGUUCCAGCAUCCAGGGCCAGUUAAGCCAUACAUGGAGUAUGAGGCCCGGGGAGAUGAAGAGGAUAAGGCAGAGAGGGUGGGUGAAGAAGACCCCCAAGGUAUAAGGUGAAAGGGAGAGGUGCGAGGAUUCAUGCUGGGGCAGGAUGCUCUGUGGAAAUUGAGUGGCUGGGAGGACAGGCAUUCUGGGCCUUGGGAGCAGGGAAGGGAGGAGGGGAAAUAAAUGAUGGCCACCCUUUUGGACCACAUCUAAGCAAAUGAUUGGCAAUGUGAUGGGAACCUCUCUUCUGCAGCCAGACUUGCGCUGCUUGGUGGGCCGCCUCACGCCUCCUUUGAAGGGCUUGUCUCUGGCAGUGGCCGCAGCGCCUGCCCCCUACCCCCAAACCCCUCGGACCCUCCACCUGUACCAACAACAGAGCCUGCUGUCAGUCCACUUUCAGCCAGGCUGAAAGGACCUUUUUCCUGGGCAUGGAGGUGGCCGCAUCCUGCCUGUCUCCUCCUCCUGCAUGCCCCCAAAUCUAAAGUACUGAAGCACCCCCCACCCCCACCCCAAGGCCUUUCCCUCUUUGCUUCUUCAUCCCCAGCAAACUCUCCAGAACUACCCAGCCCUCAGCCAAUGUGUCCUCUGGGACCCAUCAAAGAAAGACAAGACCAGCCGCUCAGGCCUCCCCGCUGGGCCCCACAUGCCUUCAUCGAAACAACAGGGAAGCAGCAGGAAGCAGGCCUCCAAGGGCUUCUCCUCCUUCCUAUUCUGGGGAUUCAUUCUAUAAUGUCACUAAAGAGUAUCUGACUUUUUGGAGGGGGGCUGGAGGGGAGCGUAUCUAAAUACCUGCAGCUUCCCACCCCCCUCCUCGCUUCUAGCACUCUCAGCCUGCUUUCCAAGGCCUGCCCGGGGCCCUUUCCCUCCACUCUAGACAACCACCAUCGCCCCAGGCCUCUGAUAACAGAGAGAUUUUAUUGUCUGCAUCUCAUAUUUUAUUUAGCAUUUUAUGAUACUCCAUGUAUGGCUUAACUUGCUUUUAAUCUCUAAGACUAAAGCAAGGUCUAGCUAGAUAAUAUUGAAGACAGGCCUGACCCUGCACUUUUUGUAAAGCUUCCCCCACCCACCACCACUCCCUGGGAAUAAAUGAGGAGCUUCAGGGAAGCUGGGUGGCCCCGAGUAAUGGUGGCUGAUGGUCUAGUAUGAAAAGGUAUUGAGUACGCCUGGGCACUGGCCAUAGACAGCAAUGACAUUGGCUCUGACAACUGAUGACAUUUCAGUGAGGGUGGAAGAGAGGAGUUCAAGGACAAUGAAGAAUUAAACCUGGUGCUGGGGACAUGCUCAGGAGCAAAGGAAUGUAGGAAAAGCUCAGGUGGGUGCAGUAGAAGGGAGGUCAUGGGGGUAAGGAGAGGGAGCAGGAAAGAUCUGCUCAGGAAGGAUGUGGACUCAGACGCUGGGCUGAGGGGACAGACCUUAGGAGCCAGCCCUUUGUCUAGUGGACAGGCUGGGCCCUGGGACCAGAGGGCUCCAUAAUCAGUCAUGGCCCAGGCAGGGCAGCUCAGAGGGAGGGUAGUGGAGGGGACCUGCAGGGUUUGGGGCACAGGGGAGGGAAAGUAGGAGUUCCUUCCCAGGGCAGAGCUGGGGUCCCCAGCCAGGGUCCAGGAUGGCUGCAGCAGGGCACAGCCCAGGUGGGCCACGAAUGCAGGCCAACCUGAACAGUGGAAACGAUAAACCACGCUUCAGAUGUCCUUGCAUUUUCGGGAGGGCCCAACAGAGUGGGGAGUGGGAGAGAGGGACUCUGAUAUGGUUUCAUUCUUGGCUGUGGUUGCCCUUUCUCUUCAGUAACAGCUGGUUAGAAGUGAGGGGGCAGGGGAGGCUCCUGGUGGGGUGCCGGGAAAAGGGUUUACAUCCCAGACAAGCACAGUAGACGCUAAGCAGAGGGGCCCCCAGGGGAGGCCUGGACAGCCAGUGGCUUUUCUCCAGGGAGCAGAUCUUGCUUUCCUCCAUCCCCUGACUGGUUCCUGGAAUUGAAACCUCCUGACUUCUCCUGAAACACUUUCUAUUCUGUGCAUAGCUGGCUCAUCUUCCUCCCUCUAGCUCAGCUAAUGUCCUCUCAGAAAAGCCUUCUCUGAUACCUCUCAGCUCCAGUGCCCACCCCACCCCUAAGACUGUCCUGUCACCCUGUUGGUCCUGUUUUCUUGACAUUCUCUGGAUUGAUCUUGUCCAUCUCUGUUUCCUUGUUGGUUCCUCCCUAGAGGGUAAAUUCCAUGAAGGUGGGGUUCUGGUCAUUCUUGGCUGCAGCUAUACCUUCAGCUUCUAGAAUGGGGCCUGCCACAGAUGGGCACUCAAUGAGUAUUUGUUGAAUGGAUGAAUGGGUGGAUGACAACACAUGGACGAACACCAGGUCUCUGGGGUGGGAGUCCUAUCAAAUCUUGAUGCUCAUCCCGUGGAGGCAGGGAAACACCCCCCACCCCCAGAUGCAGGAGUUCUAGAUGGACACUGUAAACUGGGCUUCUCCUCAGCUUUAACAUAGGCAGUUCCAGUCCUGUUCUCCUUCCUAGCCAAUUGCACUGUCACCACUGCCUCUGAGACCCCAGCGUGGACAAUGCAAGGAGAAGGAACAGAAGGCACCUUGAGAUUUCCCCUUGCUCUGCAGGUUCUGACCACCUCAGAGUUCAGGGACUGUCAGACAGUGGGAUAGGGAAGCUCAGAGAGAAACUUCGAACUUCACUGAAGGUGGGUUCUAGAAUAGGUUGAUGAUGCCUUUUUCUCUCUUCUCAGGGGCUCCUUCCCUCUUUGUAUACUUGUGAGGGAAUUCAAAUCUUUUAUUUUUAAGAGAUAAAAUAUCUGGGUUUGGAAAGAGGAACCCCAAACUGACACCAGUUUGGGUUGGGUAUAUUUGGGGCUGGACAAAACUAUUCAAAGAGCAAGAAUCAGGGGGAAUAUUGCCCUUAACCCCAUCCAUGUCCUCUUGGCCUGUUUGGCUUUGGCCAGGUCCCUCACCCCUAUGGAAAGUCUGGAAGCAUCCUAUAGCCUCCCCAAAGAGUGUUCAAGCCUGAGCCUUAGAGACCCUCUAGGGCUCGGUGUCUGGGCCAAGGAGCCGUCGAGUGAGGCAUGGCCUUGAACUCUCCACACUUGCCCAUUGGGGACCAAUCUGAUGAGCCUCUGCAGCCUCCCCAUGCUGCUGAUCCCACAGAGCAACGUGCCCCAUUGGCAUUUCCUCUGCAGGGACCCACCAUCUCACACAUCUGCUCCCCCCAUGUCACCCUCACCUCCCAACCCUGCUCACUUCCCACUCCUUAUCCCAAUCCUCUGUUUGUAGUAGGGCUCUUGCUGUGAAAGCCCUGUCCUGCUCCCUGGUCUUGGGUCCGUCCCUGUGGGUCCCUCUGUUGCUUGAGCCACAGGGUCUCAGGGCAGUAUCCUCUUUCCUUCACAGCUGCAACCACCUGCCCUAUCUUUGCAGGCUCUUCUUCCUGGUCUCGGCAGUGGCCUUGGAGCGGUGCUCCAGCUGCCUGGCCAGUCACCUCCUGGUCAGGCACGGAGUCCUGUCCAUUUUAUAUGCUUCUCUGCCAGGAAUAGUGAGGUUAACAGCUUAAAUAAAGAUGUCCAAGAAAUCUCAGAAAUGACACGAAGCAUUUGUCCCUAACCAAACAGAAGUGCUGGUGGCUGGCGGAGCGGGUGCUCAUCCUCUGGUUGGUUCUUUGUGGUCCCCACUUCACUUUCAUACCUCUUUGGAUUUUCUUGAGUCUCCCAAAGGUCAGCUGUGACCUGGCUUGUUCUGGAUAUUGUAUGUGCAUUCACAGGCUAUAGGAAGUCAGGGGCAAUGAUGGGAGGCCAGAAACAGCCAGCUGGAGCAGCACAGGAAGAUCCCAUUGAAAGCAGGGCCACCAUGCCAGAUGGUGUAAGCUGAGACAGGCUGAGAUCGAUGGGGACCAUGACAGAUCCCUGCACCGGUCGCUAGGCCUUCCUGGCAGCACCUGGACUCCCGCUGGUCAGAGAAGACCAAGCAAAGGGUCUUAUGCCACAGGAAGAAGGAAUUUCUAGGCAGGACACCCACACUAAAGAACUUCAAAGAAAGUAGUCCUCUUUGGGACUGACCCUGCCUGAUAGUCUGGUUCAUAAGCCAAGGUAAUGGAAUCCAAGUUGGGACAGCUUGUUGCAAAGGUUUUUGGGAAUGUCACUUUUGUAAGGAUCAGGUAUUAGAGUUUCUGGGGUUUGAUCUCACUGCUGUUCUGAUUUCAGGGGAAACACAGAUUUAGGAGGUUAGAAUAAAUAAAGUUAAGGGGACAAAGGGCUAAGGGUUAGCCCCAAAUAGCCACCAAAGCAGAAACCUGUGUGUAGCACUGGGGAUCCUGCCAGUAGAGAUGGUGCAGGAGUGGCUGUGGAAGCUCUGAGGUGCCAUUACUAGCAGGAAGGGGCAGCCGAGAGAGUGGGAGGAUUGCUUCCUAAGGGCCUGGGUGGGGACCAGGAAGUGCUUUAGUGCUUAAGCAAGGUCCCUGGUUGAAGGGCUUGGAAGUGCAGAGGUGCUGGUGGCAGGGCCCUGUGUCAGUACUAUCCUUGGGGCCAGGCCUCUCUGGCUGGUGGCCUGGCCUUGAACUUGGUCUGGAUAGCCAGAGACUCUUCCUCUACAGGGGACUUGCAUUCUACCAGCCUCAACUUUUCAGGAAGAGAAUAUAUACAAGAACAGGGAUGGGGGUGGUUUGGAGAUGGGGAUGAAGCUUUGGGCUCGUGAUGGACUAGGGUGACACCAAGUCUCAUGAUGGACUGGCCAGUUUCCAUGCCCCAAAAAAACAUCCAGGAGCAAGGGAGCCAGGAAUAAAGCCCAGAUAGAGAAGCGGCCAGCAUUACAGUGAAAGCUGGCAUAUGGGAGCAUUCCAAUAGGUUCUAGGAAGAACAAAAGAGGCUGUGGAAAUAACCACCAGUGUCUGGUUCUAUAGCAAUACAUUAGCUACAAUACUGGGAGUUAGCAAACUAGGGUUUAGUUCUGAAAGAAGAGUGUCUAACUCUCCAGUCCCCUUCAGUAGUAUGUUGAGGGCCAGGCUGAGUGAGUGAGCCAGACUAUGGAAUUUUUACUUAAGUGAGGUUCAGCUAGAAAAGGAAGGGACAAAGCCAACCCUGCCUACCCAGGAGAUUCUGGGAAGGAGAAGAGAGAAGAGAAAGCCCUCUCUGGGGUUCGGCCCCAGAGCAUCUGGAAGAGAGCAUUCUUAGCUGAGUACUGCCAAAACAAAGGGCGAGUGUCCCACGGACCUGGUCCUGGGCAGACUGAGGGGUCACAGAGUCUGAGCUUUCUUGAGCUGUCCUGGUUCCCAUGUGCUUUAGGAAAGACCCAGAAGAGGCUGGCUAUUCAGUCAGAGGUGCCUGGUAUAGUGGCACCUCUAGUGCUGACACCACACUAGACCACAUGGAGGCUGCAGCCGGUGCAGAGGGCCAGCAGGAGCACUGCUCAGACCACAGAAGGAGCCACGACGCUGCUCCUGGGGUGGGGUGGGGUUGGGGGAGAGGGGUGGGCAGAGAGCCUCACCCUGAAAACCAGAGCAGGCCACACAUGGGGCCUCAGAGAGACUCUCCAUUAUUGAAUGCGACUGAACUUUAAACCAGAUUGAACAUAUGGGCAGGGUUUUUUGUUUUGUUUUGUUUUGUUUUUGUAUUUUAAUUUUUUUGUUUUUCUUAAAAGCUAUAGACCAAAUAAAGAGAUUUCAUUUUCUCUGCCCAAUUGUCAUAUUGGUUAAAUGUCACAGCUGCGGGGAGGUGGGGGGGGAGUUGGGGUGACUGGAUGAUGGGCACUGAGGGAGGCACUUGGCAGGAUGAGCAUUGGGUGUUAUGCUAUAUGUUGGCAAACUGAACUCCAAUAAAAAUAUAAAUUUAAAAAAAUGUCACAGCUGCCCCAUCAGCCCAUUUUUGUCAGGGGAUGUGGCCCUCCUGCCUUCAAGAGGACUCCUUGGCUGUCAGCAUUCUCUGGUCUUUCCCAAGGUGUUUACUGGGUCAUUAGUGUGGAGAGCCAGAGAACAAAGCGCUCAUACUGACUGAUCCCAUGUGUGGCCUUGGGCUAAACAUCCUGUGUCCCACAGAUUAUUCUGUGUCCAGAGUCUGUGCUUGGAUCCCAGAGACAUGGGCCUGGCUGCUUUGCCUGAUGAUCCGUGGAGGCUGGGUCAGGGGAGUGCCUCCUGAGUGUCCCCUAAUAGACCCUCCAGGAACAGGGCACAGGCCUGCAGGGCCAGGGGUUUCUGGCAGCCACAAUUACGGUAGAUGGGGGAGCCAGAGAGGCCAGAGUUAGAGACCAGGCUGUAUGUUAGCCCUUCCUCCAGGGGCAAGGAGGACUAAGACCUCAGCUCAGAUGGAGGAUUAAAACAUAGUAUCAUAAAAGCUUGUAAGCCUGGGAACAUCCUCACUGGGCUCAUGGGCCAGGAAUAUGCCUGGAGUAGGGUCUCUUGACCAUGGGUGAUGGUAUGGUGGCAGGAAAAGGAGGUGCCUUCAGUCCCCAGUGGGCAGCCAGGACAACUGAGGAGGGCGGGAGGAGUCUCCCCAGGUCUUGGUCAGUGGCCCAGGCAUAGCACCCACAUAGCACCCACUAUGCUAUGAGAGGAAAUGUGGAAGUUGUCCAGCUGGGGCUGGGACCCAGGCCAUCAGGACCUUGUCCAUCUUUUUGCCAUCCGCAGCAUGUCCCCUCUACCCUCGUGCUCACAAGAUGCUAGAGCUUCUCCGGAUACCAUGCCUAGAGGGAAGGGACAGAGGCCUGAUGGGGCAGAUGGGGCCCUUUUGGGCCUAUCACCUUCACUUACAUCUCAUCAGCCGGAACCACCUCACGCAUCAUCCCUAGGUGCAGUCACUGAUGAUGGCCACGGAGGAGGAAGGACCUUGGGGUGCACACCAGCACCCCAGUCAACUGUGUUCUGGCAUAGCUCCCUCCCUAUCUCCUCCUCCAUCCUGCCAAGGUCCCUCACAUUGAGGGCAGAGUCCUGGCUUCACCAGCCUUCCUGCUGGCCCCUAAAGAAUAGAUUAGGAUUUUAUGGCAAUUCGGCAAAAAACAAGAAUGGAUAUGGCCUCUGCCACCACAGAAUGGGCAGUGGUGCGAGAAGUGUAGGUUGGAGACAGCACAACAGGUUGGAAGGCAUACAGAAGAAGUGUGACUCUCAGUCUAGAGGGAACAACGGGCACGGAGAGCGUCCAGGAGGUAGAGUUGUCCUGGCUAAAGCCUAAAGGAUGGAAAGGAGCAAGCCAGGGGAAGGAAGGCGAGAGGGUGGCAAGAUGACACAGCUAAGGAACAGGGAGGAAUUCCGCUGGAGGGCCGGGAAGAACUGCGGCAGGAGAAGCAGCAGGCCCAGGCCAGAGCACAUGGGGCCACAUCGAGAGGAGUGAGCAGAGAUGGCACCCAGUGCAGGCUGGAGAGAGGUCUUAGCCAGCCAGCAGCACAGGCCAGGCUGGGGGGUGGGGGCCAGUUAGGAGACCAUGGCAGUUAGGCAGGCAGGGCCAAUGCUCAGGGAGGGACAGAGGUAUGGAGAAAGAGUGCGGAGACAGACCAUACAAGGCUUACAGACCGACAAAGGGGUAGACGUGGCUGUUUGGAGAGAGAGUGGGAAACCAGGUGUGUGGAGGUGGCCUUCAGUGAGGGGGAGGGGACACAAGGGAGGGGCCACUGUAGACAGAAGGGACCAUGUCCGGUUGGAGAGGCUGGGUUCAAGCACAUGGGGGAGGAGAUGGAAGAUGUGGGUAUCUAGUCUAGGUGCUCAGCAGAGUUCUGGCCUGGGAUCCAGUUAUACUACCUGCCGGGGGCCAACACCAGGGAUGAAACUUUCCUGCUACUGGCAACCAGGGAAACAAAGGCAAGGGAUGUACAAAUGGGUCUUUGCUUUCCUUUGGGCCACCAUCCAACAUAGGCAGCUGGCCUUGGGUGGGCACCUGGGAGAGUUCCCAGGGAUCUCCCUCCCCUGCUCCCACUCAUCCCACCCCAUCCCAUGCCAUCUCAUUGCAUCCCCUAGACCCCAGCCUCUCUCCUGUCUCCUGGCACCCCAAGGGCUCCAGCUCCCCAUGUAGGGAGACUCAUAUUGCAAGGUUUUGAGGGUAGCAGUGGGGCAUACCUUUGGGCUUUCUGGACUGUUCCCAAGGGAUGCCAAAGGGGCACAGCCCUGCCUCCAUCAGAGUGGACUUUGGUGCACACCACACUUUCCCAUGCGGGGACCUAUCACAGACGCCUUCCCCUCUAGGAUGAGAAUGGGGUUAUUUCCCUUGUUAGGAGUUCAGUGAUCCCUAUCAUGAAUCCAGAGACUUCUCAUCAUGGGCUCCUGGAGAGGUGGUGGAGGCAGUGACAUAGGCUUUUGUCACCAGAUGUGCUGCUGUGAGGCUGCUUGGGAAGUUCCAUCUUCCAGAAAAUGAGGAGCCUUUGAGCUUUUGGGAGACUGAGUAGGGCUUCUGGCAUCCAGCUCUAGUGUCCCAGCUGCCAAGUGGGGAGAAGGGUGUGGUUAGCCAGCUCAGACGUAGGUAUGGCUGAGCGCUGCUUCUGGCUCAGUAGUACCUCAUGGCCUGUCCUGAGACACUCUGCUGGCCUGGCCUGAGAGCAUGUGAGCUACUGGGCAUCCAUAGUAAAUCCCCUCAUCUCUUGAACCAACCCAAGGGGCUUUGGUGAAGAACCUCGCACAAGAACGGGAGUGGGGGAAGGAAGAACCCCAGCUGGCCCCACAGAGAAGGGGCUUGAGAUGAGCCAGGCAGAGACAGAGGUAGGAAAGGAUCCCAGGAUGGAAAAUGGGGUGCUGGGCCAAAGCUGGAAGACUUGGGAGGCCCCAGGAGGGGAGUAGCUGAUUUAAGUUCCCCAUUUGUAGAAUUGGGAUGAGAACAGUCACUCAUUCAUUCAUUCAUUGAACAAAUAUUUUCAGGCCACAAUCACAUGGCCAAGGGCUCAGGAAUCCAUCUAUGAACAAGACAGACAAGUACCCCACCUUUCUGGAGCUAAUGUUCCAGCUGAAAGGGUGGGAGGAACAAAAAAAAUGCCAAACAAAUGAAGUCUGAGGGCUGUGGUGGUGGGGCAGGAAACAAACCCAAGGGUGGUACAACCCCCCUGACCCAGCCUGGGAGCCACAUGAGGAGCAGUCUCUUGGUGCCAGGGGUCCUCGAGAGGCUGGGUGAGAUGACGGGCCUCGGCAGAGCACCUGCACUGAAGGCCUUAGGUGUUAUGAUGGCGAAGACAAGAAGGAUGCUUAGCAUUUCUUUAGUGCCUACUAUAUGCCCUCUCUUCCCUGGUUGGCAGCAACAGCCCCUUUCCACCCCCGCCCCCCGCCCCCCCGGCCCACCAAGUUCCCUGCCACCCCGAGUGAGACAGCUUAGUGGGCUCAGGGGAGAGCCUCUGAACAUGCUCUUUGCCCAAAGGAAUAUCCUGCCUGUGCUAGGGCCAGGAAUGGAGGCACAGCCCUGGGGACCUCCCCCCUUCUGACAGCCUAGCCUCCCCCUUCUGACCACCUUCUGAGCCCUGAGUAGUGGGAGAAGGUAAAGUUUCAUUUGCCAAGGAGGUAGGAUGGCGGCGGGGGGAGGUCAGCGGGAGCCGGAGGGAGCCUGGGUGAAGCGAUGCUAGAAGACAGAAGGGUGAGCACAGCCAGGAGAAUUGAGGCUGAGUGGGGGGUAGGGCAGGGGGAGAUAAGAAAUAGCCCUUGGGGAGACGGUCCCAGGUUCUGCAGGGCUGUAUGACACCCUACUUUCUGGGGUUACCCUCCAUGGCACUUCCCCUUGGGUUUCACGGCAAGGUCCCUUAGCCCCUGAGCUGGACAUGCCAGCAGGUGACUCGGCAGUGAAUGAAUAGCAGCCUCUUGAAUGAAUAGCUCACGGUCUCCCCAAAUACCUAACCUCGCUGAGCCUUGGUAAUCUCCCCAGGUAAAAUGGGGCAGCAUGUCUCUCAUAGGAUCUCCGGGAGGAAAAGAAAAACAUGAUAAAGCAUUUCUGAUUCUCAAAAGGAUGUCUGACCCACAGCAAGUGCUUGGGAAAAAACUGAGCACUCACGGUAGGAUUCAGGAGACCUGUGACACGGAUGCGUGACCCUAAGCGCUCUCCAGCCCAGCCCCGUGCUCAGCCCCAGCUUCUGGCCCCACCAAACCGCCAACCUCUCUCCAAAUGGCCUCUGGCCCCUUUGUGGCCCCUGCUUUUUGUUCAGGUUCGUGUGUUGUGACACCCCUCUGAUCCUUUCCAGAGGGCUGUGGGGUGUGGCAGCUGGCAGCUCCGGUCCAUCCAGGAUCAGGGAUCCCCCCACCCUCACAGACCUGACCGUGCUGACUGUCCCCAUGCGACGGAGGACUGUCCCUCCACAUCCAGCCCUGCCUUUCUGAUAGAGCCCUGCCUGUGACGUGGAAGUGAGGUGGUUGCAUGACCCCGUGGCCCUCCUCGGCAGCCCGGUGUGGCCCUGUGAACAGACACACCAACAAUCGCCACAUGUGGGUUUUGGGAAGCCCCUCAAGGGGACUUGCCUGCUGCCCCUGGCUGGAAGGCAUACAAGCAACGACUGCCAUACCGACCAGGAGACAGAGGCCAUGUUGUGAGGAUGGAAGAGGAAUGGCUAACCCUGGCGCCCCUGAGAACCAGCCCUGGAUGGCCUCUGCUAAAGUGAGGGAGAGACAUCUGUCCUAUUUGACACCCCUGUUUUGUGCAGGCAAGCCUGAUCCCCAUAGACAAAAGUGUAGCUCCUCCCACCUUUUCUCCCUGCCUUGCCCUUUCUCUCCAUGGGCGCUGAUGAAGCAUCUACUGCGGGGAGAGCAGAGGAGGAAUAUGGAAGCAGCUAGAGGUGAUUUAGAAAGGGUCGGAUUCCAAGAAACAAGGCAACGGAGGUAGCGCCAGAAGAGGAGGACAGAGCCUGGGGAGGAUUCGUCACCGCAGGGGUGGUGAGACAAACCUUCCAGAAGAGCAGGGGAAGGCAACAGGGACUUCCUACCCAUCCAUGCCUACCCCAGUUCUCCCCUGGGGGGCCCGGUGCACUGCCUCACCUCCCCACUGGCCCAUGAAGACCCAGUGCCCCUUCCUGAUGAGGCAGUAGGUGGGGAGGUGGGGGUGCCAGUUGGGUGAGAGGGUGUUUAGUGAGGGCUUGGGGCCGGCAAUAGAGGAGAAGGGUAUCCCCAGACCUACACAUUCUUCCCAAAUCAAGACAAUAGGUGUAGAGUUGACCACGGAGAUCCCACCUCAUGCCUGAGCCCCCCAUGCUGUCCGUGUGGCUUGCUUCUCAGAGCGGGCUUCCUCUGGGUCCCUGCGGAGCUCCGCUCAGUAAACAUAUAGGAGUCCUACUGUGUGUACUACAUGUACAUGGGGCCAAGUGCUGAGGACAUCCCCUCGCAGAGGUCCCUGCCCCGCAGCCUCCAGCACACGCUGCCCUGACAGGCCGGCCCAGGAUGGAAGCGUGCCGCUACACGAUUAACAGCCGCUUCUCUGACGAAAUCACGUCCUGUUCUGUAGCCUUUGUAGACUUCUGUGGCCUGACUCCUCCAGCCUGGCAACUUCUGAGCUCUCAGCGUGAAGCACCAAAGGGCUGAGCGGGGUAACGGGGGACCAGCCCUCAGGAGUGGAGCUCACAUGCCACAGCCAGGGGCUUCUCGUCCAUCCCCUACUCCUGUGUCUGGGCCCCUGAGCCUCCCCACCGGUCUGUACCUUGUCCCCGGGGGACAGGGGGCUGCAGGGGGGGCCUCUGUCAAUGGGUAGAGAAGAACAAGGAGACAGCCCCUGGAGCACCCUCUUGAGGUGCUCAACCUUCCUUGAAUCUGCCCCCGCCCCCACCAGGCCUUUUCUUUCUCUUUCCUGGCUUUGCCUCACCUCCAAGCUCUCCUCCUCCUCCUCAGAAGGGACUAUUCCCCAGCAUUUGGAGACUGCGUCUCCCCCAGCGCCCCCACCAAGCCGGCUCCCUAACCCAGGCUUGCCCCGCCCCCACACAGUGCUCACGCAGCUGUCUCCCUCCCGGCCCAUCCCCUCAGUCUGAGGCCCCGCUGCCAACCCCCUGCCUGUCCCAGAGAGGCCUCCACAGACACUUGCUGCGCCCGGAAGCCUGCGGUUCUAUCAGCUCUCCAGUGGCUGCCACAAACUGCUGUCUUGGAGAAAGGGUGGCUCAUCCCCCUCAGCCUCCCCGCCUGCACCCCCAUCCCAGCCCCAAGCCUCCCGGCAUCAUCUGCUCCACCUCCAGGCAGCUCGGAGCCAGGCCCCCAUCUGCCCUGGCAGCCUGGGGCACUGGGGCUUUAGGACCCCAGGGUAGGACAGAGAUCCGGGCCCCCAGCCCCCAGGCCCCUGCAGGGGAGCUGCUUAAUGACCUUGUGAGCAGUAAUUACACCCCAGGACCCGCUCUUAAUAACCACGUAUUCUCCCUGUCAAUGUGCCUUAAUUGAAAAUGAGUAGGCGAUACAAGUUGCUGUGAAGUUGGCUGCCAAGCCCUUAACGUGAUAUUAAUUGUAGUAAUUAGUAGUCACUUUGUGUUGGAGUCAUCUAUAAAUAGGGGGUCUAUUAGUUUAGCAAAAGAGCGUGAUUUAAAAUGCAAAUAAAAGCCCAAUUAGACAGAUAAAUCAUUCGUCUUUCCCAGCAAAUUAUCAUCUUGGGGGAAGAUGGGGGCAGCAGCCACUUUGAGGAUGAUUGGUCAGUUCCGGGGCUCUGGGUUAUUACACCACGUGAGUGGCCCACUUGGGACACUGUUCUUUAAACAAGUCUGUUCAGGGUCCCUCAGGAGGCUGUCACUCCAGGGGCUUUGACCAGGCUCUUUGUAGGCAGGACUCUUGGCCAGGCUCCCGAGUAGCUCCUCCCCCAUCUGCUUGAUUGGUUUCCUUUGGGGACACCGGAGCACUUUUUUUGUUUGUUUGUUUGUUUUUUUGUUUUGUUUUGUUUUUUUUCGGAGCACUUUUUAAAGGCACAGUAGCAGAGCGUGCCUCUGGGUCCUGGGGAAUGGGCUGGGGUGUGGGAGGAGUCCCAUCUUUAAAUGUAGCUCUUCACCUUCCUGAGGGAACCCACAGAUGCCAUAUAUUGUUCUGUGACCCUAAAGAGUUAAAAAACAAAUAGACCCACAACAUUGGUCCUGGGGUAGACAACUUACUCUCCAUUUCCUACUCCCUUCCACAAAACCUAUGGAGGUUAUUGGAGUCGCGCACGUGCACGCGCGCAUGCGCACACACACACACACACCCGCAGUAUUUCUCACAGGCUUUGGGGGAACAUUGGAGGUAGAAAUGACUGGAUGAAGAAGAGGCCAGUUAGGGACGUGUUAAGGCCAGAGGGACGUUUGAUCAUCUAGUUCAGCCUUCUCAAAACCUUCUCCCAGGCCUGUGUUUCCCAAUCUCACAACUAGGGAGGUGGUGAGAAGUGUCUGGGCACGUGGGUCCUUCCCUCUUGGUCAGUGCAGUUGCCAGAAACCUGAUGUUCAGAGCCCAGAUCGGAGUUCUUCCCACCCCCACAUCUGCCUCCCACCAUCCCCUCUGGGAGUCCAUCACUCCCUUUUGGACAAUCAAGCCUGACUUUUUCACCGAAUCUGCAUUUUAAUGAGUCAAAGCUGUGAGAUGAGGCAGCCAGGCCCAAGCCCAGCAUAAGAAGACUGCUAUAUCCUAGAUAAGGAACUGGAAGGAGAGCCAGGCACUGUCCAUCCCAUCUCCAUGCAUGACAGAUGAGGAAAUCAAGCCUCAGGGAAGGAGUGACUGGGCCAAGCCACACGAUGUGUUCCUGGUGGCAUUUGGUGGUUGGGCUCUGAACAUCCAACAGAUAAUAUCAACAGGCAGUGUUUCAGGCAAUGCGGUGGUGACAAAAAGCAACAGAAUUCACAACAGUGUAUGGUGGGGACGCCUGGGUGGCUCAGUGGUUGAGCGUGUGCCUUUGGCCCAGGGUGUGAUCCUGGAAUCCCGGGAUCGAGUCCUGUAUCAGGCUCCCUGCAUGGAGCCUACUUCUCCCUCUGCCUAUGUCUCUGCCUCUCUCUGUGUGUCUCUCAUGAAUAAAUAAAGUCUAAAAAAAACAAACAAACAAACAAAAAAAAAAAAAACAGUGUGUGGUGAUAGACUUACCGGUAACUAGACUUACCGUGGAGAUCAUUUUAUAAUAUAUAACAAUAUUGAAUCACUAUGACUUAUACCUAAAGCUAGGAGGAUAUUGUAUGCCAGUUAUUCUUCAAUUAAAAAAAAGAAUUCAGGACGCCUGGGUGGCUCAGUGGUUGGCCGUCUACCUUUGGCUCAGGUCCUGAUCUCAGGGUCUUGGGAUGGAGCCCCACAUUGAGCUCCCUGCUCA